AAAUCUGUUUUCUAGAAUGAACUCUGCAGUCCCUGAACAGAAAGGUUUAUACGGAAAAUAAAACAACUUAAGUCCCUGUAUUGUGUUCUACUGUUACGGUUUAUCUUUAAAAAAUAAA